UUGUGUUGCCUUUUUCUUUGUUUGAUAGGCAAUGCUUCCAUAGCAAUGCCAAGGAAAUUGGCUUCAUUAAGUACCACUGAAGGGUUUCGUCUGUCUGUUCCACAAAAGCAAAGGCUUUGGCUGAAGCAUGAUAUGAUUUGUGGUUUUUAAGUUUGAAAAACCUUUUGAUUUUCAAUUUUAGUUCUAUAUAAUGUUUAAACUUGAGUUCAAUGAUGGGAGUAUGAAUUUUUUUGCUUCAAAUGUUUGAAGAUCAUUUACAAAUUAUGAUUUCCUGUUUGCUGCCAUUGUUUUUCAUUCUCGUAUGUUAGAUUUUUCUCAUGAGUAAUGGAAUACUUGUAAUUGAGUAUUAGAGAGAGAGAGAGAGAGAGAGAGAGAGAGAGAGAGAGAGAGAACUGUUUGAGAGAGUUGAGGUUGCCAGAACACUCUGCAGAGAAGAAUGACUGGAUGAUGAAGUGCAUAGAGUCCAUCUUUAAGUAUGUUAUCUUAUUCAUUCAUGAUCAUUUUGUUGAUUUCUACCUGACAAUAGUUGUUUAUGUUUUAAGCAAAAUGCUUUGUGAAAGCAGUCUUUGCUCCUUAUUCCCAAUAUUAUAUUAUCAGAUCGGUAUAAUUUGUCA